rnacentral:rRNA from 1 species
GACAGAGGGUGCAAACGUUGUUCGGAAUUACUGGGCGUAAAGCGCGUGUAGGCAGCCGCGCAAGUCGGAUGUGAAAGCCCUGGGCUCAACCUAGGAAGUGCAUUCGAAACUGCUGAGCUUGAGUACUUAAGAGGAUCGCGGAAUUCCCGGUGUAGAGGUGAAAUUCGUAGAUAUCGGGAGGAACACCAGUGGCGAAGGCGGCGAUCUGGGAAGAUACUGACGCUGAGGUGCGAAAGCGUGGGGAGCAAACAGG